GUUGCCACGUUGUGUGUUUUGGGUGCAGAACAGCCAGUCUCUGCUUCUCAGGCAGGAAAAAAAGCACAAAAGCAUUUGUGUAGUGGGAGGGAUGCCCGGUUACAAUUCUUUGAGCAGAGUGGUACUUUGGUUCCACCAUCAGCUGUCAUCAAGCCUUGCCCUGUUUUUUAAUGGGAAGCCAGCCUGGGGGAGGCAAGAGUGCAGGUUUUGGCCUUGAACUGGCCUUGGGAAGGUAAGACCUUAGAAAGGACACAAUAAGGGGAGGAGGAACCGAAAGCUGUCUCUGUUGUGUGUACCUGUGAGAAUGCCAAGACUGAAACGUUCAGUUCCAGGUCUUCGCUGUGCCAUCCUGUGCUCUGCUCAUUUCCUGCCCUGGCUGACAAGCAGUAAAGAGUAAUGAGGUUAACCAACAUGUCUGGAUGGGUGUGUAGUGCUGUAGCUACAGACAUGCAGG